CCUACGGGUGGCAGCAGUGAGGAAUAUUGGUCAAUGGCCUGAAGGCUGAACCCGCCACGCCGCGUGAGGGAGGAAGGCGCGGAGCGUCGCAGACCUCUUUUGCCGGGGGACAAAAGGCCGGCCUCGGCCGGUCCUGAGGGUACCCGGAGAAAAAGCAUCGGCUCACUCCGUGCCAGCAGCCGCGGUACUACGGAGGAUGCGAGCGUUGUCCGGAUUUCCUGGGUGUAAAGGGCGUGCAGCCGGGAAGACAAGUCAGAUGUGAAAUCCCGCGGCUCAACCGCUGAACUGCAGUUGAAACUGUUUUUCUUGAGUACCGGAGAGGUGAUCGGAAUUCCUUGUGUAGCGGUGAAAAGCGUAGGUAUAAGGAAGAACACCAGUGGCGAAGGCGGAUGACUGGACGGCAACUGACGGUGAGGCGCGAAAGCGUGGGGAGCAAACAGGAGUAGAUACCCGAGUAGUC
rnacentral:rRNA from 1 species